rnacentral:rRNA from 12 species
AUUAGUGUCCAAUAUUGGAAACUAAGCAGGGCCAUGCCUGGUUAGUACUUGGACGGGAGACCAACUUGGAAGACCAGGGAGCCACUAUCC